rnacentral:rRNA from 1 species
GGCUCAGGAUGAACGCUAGCUACAGGCUUAACACAUGCAAGUCGAGGGGCAGCAUGGUCUUAGCUUGCUAAGGCCGAUGGCGACCGGCGCACGGGUGAGUGACACGUAUCCAACCUGCCGUCUACUCUUGGACAGCCUUCUGAAAGGAAGAUUAAUACAAGAUGGCAUCAUGAGUCCGCAUGUUCACAUGAUUAAAGGUAUUCCGGUAGACGAUGGGGAUGCGUUCCAUUAGAUAGUAGGCGGGGUAACGGCCCACCUAGUCUUCGAUGGAUAGGGGUUCUGAGAGGAAGGUCCCCCACAUUGGAACUGAGACACGGACCAAACUCCUACGGGAGGCAGCAGUGAGGAAUAUUGGUCAAUGGGCGAGAGCCUGAACCAGCCAAGUAGCGUGAAGGAUGACUGCCCUAUGGGUUGUAAACUUCUUUUAUAAAGGAAUAAAGUCGGGUAUGCAUACCCGUUUGCAUGUACUUUAUGAAUAAGGAUCGGCUAACUCCGUGCCAGCAGCCGCGGUAAUACGGAGGAUCCGAGCGUUAUCCGGAUUUAUUGGGUUUAAAGGGAGCGUAGAUGGAUGUUUAAGUCAGUUGUGAAAGUUUGCGGCUCAACCGUAAAAUUGCAGUUGAUACUGGAUAUCUUGAGUGCAGUUGAGGCAGGCGGAAUUCGUGGUGUAGCGGUGAAAUGCUUAGAUAUCACGAAGAACUCCGAUUGCGAAGGCAGCCUGCUAAGCUGCAACUGACAUUGAGGCUCGAAAGUGUGGGUAUCAAACAGGAUUAGAUACCCUGGUAGUCCACACGGUAAACGAUGAAUACUCGCUGUUUGCGAUAUACAGCAAGCGGCCAAGCGAAAGCGUUAAGCAUUCCACCUGGGGAGUACGCCGGCAACGGUGAAACUCAAAGGAAUUGACGGGGGCCCGCACAAGCGGAGGAACAUGUGGUUUAAUUCGAUGAUACGCGAGGAACCUUACCCGGGCUUAAAUUGCAGAUGAAUUACGGUGAAAGCCGUAAGCCGCAAGGCAUCUGUGAAGGUGCUGCAUGGUUGUCGUCAGCUCGUGCCGUGAGGUGUCGGCUUAAGUGCCAUAACGAGCGCAACCCUUGUUGUCAGUUACUAACAGGUUCCGCUGAGGACUCUGACAAGACUGCCAUCGUAAGAUGUGAGGAAGGUGGGGAUGACGUCAAAUCAGCACGGCCCUUACGUCCGGGGCUACACACGUGUUACAAUGGGGGGUACAGAGGGCCGCUACCACGCGAGUGGAUGCCAAUCCCAAAAACCUCUCUCAGUUCGGACUGGAGUCUGCAACCCGACUCCACGAAGCUGGAUUCGCUAGUAAUCGCGCAUCAGCCACGGCGCGGUGAAUACGUUCCCGGGCCUUGUACACACCGCCCGUCAAGCCAUGGGAGCCGGGGGUACCUGAAGUGCGUAACCGCGAGGAGCGCCCUAGGGUA